GAUGCUGGCGGAUCACGAAUCUCUCUUCUGGCAUCUAUGGAAUAAGUUGGAGGAUUCUGUAGCUGUUUUUCAUUGGAACGAAUGGAUACACAUACAGGAUCGUAUCAGUAUGACGAUUGGUUUGAAAUGGCACAUCUCAAGGGAUAUACUUGGAAGAUACUCAAUCACAAUGGACUUUAUCUCAGAGUUCCUAUGUUAGUCUCCGAGGGAGAUACGGGAUAUGUUGAUGAUCUUGCCGGAUCAAGAGAACUUAUUUCUU